GUGACGAUGCGACGCCGCGUGAGCGAAGAAGGCCCUAGGGUUGUAAAGCUCUGUCGAGGGUUAUGAAAUAUAGAUGGGUUAAUACCCCAUUUAUUUGACAAAAGCCCAAAAGGAAGCCACGGCUAACUCUGUGCCAGCAGCCGCGGUAAUACAGAGGUGGCAAGCGUUGUUCGGUAUUAUUGGGCGUAAAGAGCACGUAGGUGGUUCUGUAAGUCAGAUGUGAAAGCCUUCUGUUCAAAGGAAGAACGGCAUCUGAAACUACAGAUCUUGAGUGUAGGAGGGGAGAGUGGAACUUCUGGUGGAGCGGUGAAAUGCGUAGAUAUCAGAAGGAACGUCGGCGGCGAAAGCGACUCUCUGGCCUAUUACUGACACUGAGUGUGCGAAAGUUAGGGGAGCAAACGGGAUUAGAUACCCCGGUAGUCCUAACUGUAAACGAU
rnacentral:rRNA from 1 species